rnacentral:rRNA from 1 species
UACGAAGGGAGCUAGCGUUGCUCGGAAUCACUGGGCGUAAAGGGUGCGUAGGCGGGUCUUUUAAGUCAGGGGUGAAAUCCUGGAGCUCAACUCCAGAACUGCCUUUGAUACUGAAGAUCUUGAGUUCGGGAGAGGUGAGUGGAACUGCGAGUGUAGAGGUGAAAUUCGUAGAUAUUCGCAAGAACACCAGUGGCGAAGGCGGCUCACUGGCCCGAUACUGACGCUGAGGCACGAAAGCGUGGGGAGCAAACAGG